AUUAAUUACAAAAUAUAGAACCGAAAUUGUAUGGCACAAUUAUCGGUUAACAGAUUCAGCUUUUCAUGGGCGGCAAAACCAAACCCCAAAUCUCAUUUUAAAUUUCAACUCACAAAAAGACCACUACACACCACGACUCAAAUUCUCAAAACCAGUCAUUCAAGAUCUGCUUUAUGUGCUCAACUUCUAGAGAGAGAAACCGAUGAACGAGAAGUUGAUACAGCGGCUGGAAUCCGCCGUAGCACGGCUGGAAUCACUAUGUCUUCCUUCGUUCUUCCGAUCCAACAACCAUCAGUUUAUAGUGAAUCAAGUCUGCAGAUUUGGGAUGAUGUCAUGGGCUGUUCUUGCUGUCACCUAUUGCAUAAAGCAGUAUGAAACAAACGGCAAAGUAGCAGACUCCAUGCUUGUAAAUACCGUGUUGAUGUUGGUUUACGUUACAAAAUUCUUUUGGUGGGAAGCUGGGUGCUGGAACACAAUGGAUAUUGCACAUGAUCGAGCUGGAUUUUAUAUCUGUUGGGGAUGUUUGGUUUGGGUUCCUUCUAUAUAUACUUCCCCUGGCAUGUAUGUACCUUGUCAACCAUCCUGUUAGUCUCGGACCGCAGCUAGCAAUAUCCAUCCUAAUAGCAGGCAUUCUGUGCAUAUACAUCAAUUAUGACUGUGACCGACAACGGCAAGAAUUCCGUAGAACAAAUGGGAAGUCAUUGAUUUGGGGGGAAGCUCCAAGGAAGGUAAUUUCUUUUUAUGCUGAUGUAAGACCUCACUUAUAUACCGGUUCUGGUUGAGACGACUCAUUUUCUUAUUUUUGUCAAAACCACGACGGGUUGUAUUUCCAACGAACACUUUUUUCUAGACUUGGCAAACAGGUCGGGUUGGGUCAUGGGUCAAAACGGGUUCGGGUCAAAACAGGUCAAUUAGAAAAAGGUUGUUUUGGUUCGGGUCGGAACGGUUCGGGUCAAAACGGGUUCGGGUUAGGUCGGGUCAGAUUUUUUUUUUGAACAAUCACAUAGCCUAGAACAUUCAAAACUUGCUCGAUAAUGAAUCAUUAAGUAGAAAGAAAUCACCACUAGCUGUACUUGAUUCCACAAUACUAAAUGCAACAUUAAAACUACAGCAAUAUCGAUUUGGGGUCAUUUCAAAAAAAAAAAAUGAUUUCAAUUACCUUUUCAAACAAUAUUUUAACCUAAAAUAUCAACCUCUUCAACUCAGCAUCACAACUUAUUGUUAAGAAAAUGCAAUGAUAAAAAAAUGGUCAAAUCACUUCCACAAAGUUGUGUGUCAAGCACAUGGAUACAUGGAGAAUGCAAGUUGUGGGUUUUCAAAUAACCAUCAAAUUCUCUUCUUCUUCUUCGUUUAUCACUCAAAUGACAACCAAGAAGGUGAUGAUAAUGGUACACCAGUGUCAGUGUUCGGAGUUUAAUGGUGAUGGAGGUUCACGCCGAAACGGUUCACAUCGAAACGAAACGAUUCGAUUCGAAACGGUACGGGUCGAAACGGUUCGAUUCGAAACGGUACGGGUCGAAACGGUUCGAUUCGAAACGGUACUGGUCGAAAUGGUUCGCGUCGAAAUGGUUUGCGUCGAAACGUUUGCCUCGAAACAGUUGCAUCAUACAGAAUAUGGUUUUGUGAAGGUCUUUCUUUAUGAUUACUCAUUAACUCCUUUUUUUCAGCUUAUGAAACCAGAUAUCUUUGAGUUUAUUGAGAAGAAUAACUUGCAGAAAUGAUAACCGCAAGAGUAGAAGAGACCUUCAACAGCAAGUCUUUGUUUAAUGGUCAUGUGCAACUGUUGCAAUGGGUCAAGCUGAUUGAUGCUGCUGAAGCAAGAUGUGGUCAAAUGGGUUAACUAUGUGUUUAAAUGGUAAAGCGGUUUGGGAAUGGCAAUGGAAGCGCAUGGCCACAUUGGAAAAUGACUCAUCGGCUUACAAAUAUGUUAAUCCAACAGUAAAUAAAGGACAAAGAAGAUAGGUUGUAUGGGAUGGAGGUGGAGGCACAAGAGAGUUCUCAUAUGGGAUAAUGCAUCUAUAUUCUUGUGUUUAUAUUCUACCUUAAAAAAGUGUACAUAUACACACCAUAUGUUAUUUUUUUUUAAACUUGAUGGCCUAACUUAUUGACUGUCCUAUGCUUUAAAAGGUGUGAGCGGUUUCAGAAAGCUUAUAUGUGAGGAUAGAGUAUUUCACGUAUGUGAGACGUUUGUAUUUAUAAAACUAAUGGUUUCUCUA